rnacentral:sRNA from 1 species
UGACAAACGAUUGACCUUGGAAUCCUUU